ACGAGGGUGGAAAAUACUUGGGAAUUUCCCCAUUGGUUGGGGGAAAUNCUCNUGGGAAACUUAGAAUUUUAACCCGCCAUACGCCCUUCCGGGAGAAAAGGGGGCAAACNUUUGUCCUUCCGCCUUUUAAGAAGACCCUAAAUUCGGAUUAACUUAAAUUGUGGGGGUAAAGGCCUUCCCAUGGGGGCGGUUCUGUAGCUNGUCUGGAAGGGAGUUUCAGCCCCCCCCGGGACUUAAACACCGGCCCCGGAUUCCUUAGGGGAGGCAACCAGUGGGGAAAUUUUGGCCAAUGGGGGAAACCCUGAUCCAAGCCAUGCCGGGGUGUGGAAGAAGGCCUUUUGGUUGUAAAGCACUUUAAGCAGUGAAGAAGACUCUUCGGUUAAUACCCGGAGACGAUGACAUUAGCUGCAGAAUAAGCACCGGCUAACUCUGUGCCAGCAGCCGCGGUAAUACAGAGGGUGCAAGCGUUAAUCGGAAUUACUGGGCGUAAAGCGAGCGUAGGUGGCUUGAUAAGUCAGAUGUGAAAUCCCCGGGCUUAACCUGGGAACUGCAUCUGAUACUGUCAGGCUAGAGUAGGUGAGAGGAAGGUAGAAUUCCAGGUGUAGCGGUGAAAUGCGUAGAGAUCUGGAGGAAUACCGAUGGCGAAGGCAGCCUUCUGGCAUCAUACUGACACUGAGGCUCGAAAGCGUGGGUAGCAAACAGGAUUAGAUACCCUGGUAGUCCACGCCGUAAACGAUGUCUACUAGUCGUUGGGUCCCUUGAGGACUUAGUGACGCAGCUAACGCAAUAAGUAGACCGCCUGGGGAGUACGGCCGCAAGGUUAAAACUCAAAUGAAUUGACGGGGGCCCGCACAAGCGGUGGAGCAUGUGGUUUAAUUCGAUGCAACGCGAAGAACCUUACCUGGUCUUGACAUAUCUAGAAUCCUGCAGAGAUGCGGGAGUGCCUUCGGGAAUUAGAAUACAGGUGCUGCAUGGCUGUCGUCAGCUCGUGUCGUGAGAUGUUGGGUUAAGUCCCGCAACGAGCGCAACCCUUGUCCUUAGUUACCAGCGGGUUAAGCCGGGAACUCUAAGGAUACUGCCAGUGACAAACUGGAGGAAGGCGGGGACGACGUCAAGUCAUCAUGGCCCUUACGACCAGGGCUACACACGUGCUACAAUGGUAGGUACAGAGGGCAGCUACACAGCGAUGUGAUGCGAAUCUCAAAAAGCCUAUCGUAGUCCAGAUUGGAGUCUGCAACUCGACUCCAUGAAGUAGGAAUCGCUAGUAAUCGCGAUCAGAAUGCCG
rnacentral:rRNA from 1 species